AUGUCCUGGACUCACCAAUUCUGCAUUGAUGUUGCAGGAGGAGCUGGAGCCCAGUCAGUGACCCAGCCUGAUAGCCACAUCACUGUCUCUGAAGGAGCCCAUCUGGAUCUGAGGUGCAACUAUUCCUAUGGUGGAGCUCUUUAUCUCUUCUGGUACAUCCAAUACCCCAGCCAAGGCCUCCAGUUUCUACUGAAGUAUGUAUCAGGACCCACCCAGGUUAAAGGUAUCAAAGGCUUCGAGGCUGAAUUUAGGAAGAAUGAAAGCUCCUUCCACCUGAGGAAAUACUCAGCCCAUUGGAGAGACUCUGCCAAGUACUUCUGUGCUCUGAGUGACACAGUGUGUAAGUCUGCAGAGGGAGCUGAACACAAACCUUCUGAGACAUUGUAG